UACGAAGGGGGGCUAGCGUUGUUCGGAUUUACUGGGCGUAAAGCGCGCGUAGGCGGAUCGUUAAGUCGGGGGUGAAAUCCUGGAGCUCAACUCCAGAACUGCCUUCGAUACUGGCGAUCUCGAGUCCGGAAGAGGUGAGUGGAACUCCUAGUGUAGAGGUGGAAUUCGUAGAUAUUAGGAAGAACACCAGUGGCGAAGGCGGCUCACUGGUCCGGUACUGACGCUGAUGUGCGAAAGCGUGGGGAGCAAACAGG
rnacentral:rRNA from 1 species